GAUGAACGCUGGCGGCGUGCCUAAUACAUGCAAGUCGAGCGAACAGACGAGGAGCUUGCUCCUCUGACGUUAGCGGCGGACGGGUGAGUAACACGUGGAUAACCUACCUAUAAGACUGGGAUAACUUCGGGAAACCGGAGCUAAUACCGGAUAAUAUAUUGAACCGCAUGGUUCAAUAGUGAAAGACGGUUUUGCUGUCACUUAUAGAUGGAUCCGCGCCGCAUUAGCUAGUUGGUAAGGUAACGGCUUACCAAGGCAACGAUGCGUAGCCGAACUGAGAGAGUGAUCGGCCACACGGGAACGUGGACACGGUCCAGGCGCCUACGGGAGGCAGCAGUAGGGAAUCUUCCGCAAUGGGCGAAAGCCUGACGGAGCAACGCCGCGUGAGUGAUGAAGGUCUUCGGAGCGUAAAGCUCUGUUUUUAGGGAAGAACAAAUGUGUAAGUAACUAUGCACGUCUUGACGGUACCUAAUCAGAAAGCCACGGCUAACUACGUG
rnacentral:rRNA from 1 species